rnacentral:tRNA from 1 species
GCUCAGCUAGCUCAACGGUAGAGCAAUCGGCUGUUAACCGAUCGGUUGUAGGUUCGAAUCCUAUGCUGAGCGCCA